UACGCAGGUCGCAAGCGUUGUCCGGAUUUACUGGGCGUAAAGAGCGCGCAGGCGGCUGGUCAAGUCCGAUGUGAAAUCUCCCGGCUCAACUGGGAAACUGCAUCGGAAACUGAUCGGCUUGAAGAUGGGAGAGGGUAGUGGAAUUCCCGGUGUAGUGGUGAAAUGCGUAGAUAUCGGGAGGAACACCAGUGGCGAAGGCGACUACCUGGCCCAUUCUUGACGCUGAGGCGCGAAAGCUAGGGGAGCGAACGGG
rnacentral:rRNA from 1 species